rnacentral:rRNA from 1 species
AGAGUUUGAUCAUGGCUCAGAUUGAACGCUGGCGGCAGGCCUAACACAUGCAAGUCGAACGGUAACAGGAAGCAGCUUGCUGCUUCGCUGACGAGUGGCGGACGGGUGAGUAAUGUCUGGGAAGCUGCCUGAUGGAGGGGGAUAACUACUGGAAACGGUAGCUAAUACCGCAUAAUGUCGCAAGACCAAAGAGGGGGACCUUCGGGCCUCUUGCCAUCGGAUGUGCCCAGAUGGGAUUAGCUUGUUGGUGGGGUAACGGCUCACCAAGGCGACGAUCCCUAGCUGGUCUGAGAGGAUGACCAGCCACACUGGAACUGAGACACGGUCCAGACUCCUACGGGAGGCAGCAGUGGGGAAUAUUGCACAAUGGGCGCAAGCCUGAUGCAGCCAUGCCGCGUGUAUGAAGAAGGCCUUCGGGUUGUAAAGUACUUUCAGCGGGGAGGAAGGGAGUAAAGUUAAUACCUUUGCUCAUUGACGUUACCCGCAGAAGAAGCACCGGCUAACUCCGUGCCAGCAGCCGCGGUAAUACGGAGGGUGCAAGCGUUAAUCGGAAUUACUGGGCGUAAAGCGCACGCAGGCGGUUUGUUAAGUCAGAUGUGAAAUCCCCGGGCUCAACCUGGGAACUGCAUCUGAUACUGGCAAGCUUGAGUCUCGUAGAGGGGGGUAGAAUUCCAGGUGUAGCGGUGAAAUGCGUAGAGAUCUGGAGGAAUACCGGUGGCGAAGGCGGCCCCCUGGACGAAGACUGACGCUCAGGUGCGAAAGCGUGGGGAGCAAACAGGAUUAGAUACCCUGGUAGUCCACGCCGUAAACGAUGUCGACUUGGAGGUUGUGCCCUUGAGGCGUGGCUUCCGGAGCUAACGCGUUAAGUCGACCGCCUGGGGAGUACGGCCGCAAGGUUAAAACUCAAAUGAAUUGACGGGGGCCCGCACAAGCGGUGGAGCAUGUGGUUUAAUUCGAUGCAACGCGAAGAACCUUACCUGGUCUUGACAUCCACGGAAGUUUUCAGAGAUGAGAAUGUGCCUUCGGGAACCGUGAGACAGGUGCUGCAUGGCUGUCGUCAGCUCGUGUUGUGAAAUGUUGGGUUAAGUCCCGCAACGAGCGCAACCCUUAUCCUUUGUUGCCAGCGGUCCGGCCGGGAACUCAAAGGAGACUGCCAGUGAUAAACUGGAGGAAGGUGGGGAUGACGUCAAAUCAUCAUGGCCCUUACGACCAGGGCUACACGCGUGCUACAAUGGCGCAUACAAAGAGAAGCGACCUCGCGAGAGCAAGCGGACCUCAUAAAGUGCGUCGUAGUCCGGAUUGGAGUCUGCAACUCGACUCCAUGAAGUCGGAAUCGCUAGUAAUCGUGGAUCAGAAUGCCACGGUGAAUACGUUCCCGGGCCUUGUACACACCGCCCGUCACACCAUGGGAGUGGGUUGCAAAAGAAGUAGGUAGCUUAACCUUCGGGAGGGCGCUUACCACUCUGUGAUUCAUGACUGGGGUGAAGUCGAAACAAGGUAACCGUAGGGGAACCUGCGGUUG